rnacentral:lncRNA from 1 species
GUUAGCCAGCAUGAAUGAAUAGACAGCCUUUUUACAACAUGGCCAAUUUUGCGGCUGUGGUAACUAGUGGAAAUCAUGAAUUGUCGUGGACUAUAUGCACAACUAAAGGACAUUGUUCCAAUCACAGGUCUAUGUCCCCAUGCGGGACCUUAUGGUGUCCAGGACACGCUCCGAAGCAGGUUUUCCAGCGUGAGGAAUGAGCAGCUCCCCAGAAAAACAUGAGACUUGCUGGUUUAAAGUGGGCUGGUGCCCUACCCACACUGGCCCUACCUGCUCACAAACACACACAGUGCCUUCAGAAAGUAUUCACA